CGCAUACACUCUCAGGAGGAAAGUAGGGGAUCGAAAGACCUUAUGCUUUAAGAGCGGCCGAUGUCUGAUUAGCUAGUUGGUAAGGUAAUGGCUUACCAAGGCGACGAUCAGUAGUUGGUCUGAGAGGACGACCAGCCACACUGGGACUGAGACACGGCCCAGACUCCUACGGGAGGCAGCAGUGGGGAAUUUUGGACAAUGGGCGCAAGCCUGAUCCAGCAAUGCCGCGUGAGUGAAGAAGGCCUUCGGGUUGUAAAGCUCUUUCAGUCGAGAAGAAAAAAUUGUGACUAAUAAUCAUAAUUGAUGACGGUAUCGACAGAAGAAGCACCGGCUAACUACGUGCCAGCAGCCGCGGUAAUACGUAGGGUGCGAGCGUUAAUCGGAAUUACUGGGCGUAAAGGGUGCGCAGGCGGUUUUGUAAGUCAGAUGUGAAAUCCCCGGGCUUAACCUGGGAAUUGCGUUUGAAACUA
rnacentral:rRNA from 1 species